rnacentral:ncRNA from 1 species
GCCAGUGAGAUACUGGAGGAAGGUGGGGAUGACGUCAAGUCCGCAUGGCCCUUAUGGGCUGGGCCACACACGUGCUACAAUGGCAAUGACAAUGGGAAGCAAGGCUGUAAGGCGGAGCGAAUCCGGAAAGAUUGCCUCAGUUCGGAUUGUUCUCUGUAACUCGGGAACAUGAAGUUGAAAUCGCUAGUAAUCGCGGAUCAGCAUGCCGCGGUGAAUAUG